GGGGAUUUGGCUCAGUGGUAGAGCGCUUGCCUAGGAAGCGCAAGGCCCUGGGUUCGGUCCCCAGCUCCCA
rfam:Rattus norvegicus chromosome 3, whole genome shotgun sequence.